rnacentral:rRNA from 1 species
AGAUUAAGUUAUUAAGGGCGCACGGUGGAUGCCUUGGCACUAGAAGCCGAUGAAGGACGUUACUAACGACGAUAUGCUUUGGGGAGCUGUAAGUAAGCUUUGAUCCAGAGAUUUCCGAAUGGGGAAACCCAGCAUGAGUUAUGUCAUGUUAUCGAUAUGUGAAUACAUAGCAUAUCAGAAGGCACACCCGGAGAACUGAAACAUCUUAGUACCCGGAGGAAGAGAAAGAAAAUUCGAUUCCCUUAGUAGCGGCGAGCGAAACGGGAAGAGCCCAAACCAACAAGCUUGCUUGUUGGGGUUGUAGGACACUCUAUACGGAGUUACAAAGGACGACAUUAGACGAAUCAUCUGGAAAGACGAAUCAAAGAAGGUAAUAAUCCUGUAGUCGAAAAUGUUGUCUCUCUUGAGUGGAUCCUGAGUACGACGGAGCACGUGAAAUUCCGUCGGAAUCUGGGAGGACCAUCUCCUAAGGCUAAAUACUCUCUAGUGACCGAUAGUGAACCAGUACCG